AAAAUAGCCGUUGGGCCCGCCAGGACCGGCUCAGGCCCGCCAGCCGGUCCCGGGCCUAACGGUUCGAGGUGUGAGACCGGCUCGUCACGGGCUUUUGGGAACAUCAGGACCAGACAGCCGGGACCGGCCCAGCAGGACCGAUAGGCCCUCCAGGCACGCGGUCCCGAUCCGGUCCCGGGCCUGAACCGGGACACCAAACAGCCUUAGUCCCAACUAAUUCCGGGGGCGCACAGGCCCCGGCAAGGAGUUUCCCGCAAGUGCACCAUGGUUAAUUCAGGUUUUAUCCAGUCCGAUGACCCUCAGAAAUUGUUUGCACCCAGUGAGUUUCGAACUUGAGAUCUUGAAAGGGAGCAAACCAUAAGGCUCAAGUCAAUUGCUAACAGGCCAAUCCUAAGGGUUAAUUUCAGGGAAAAUUUUCUAAGUUUUUUGCUAAAAAUCCAAGGAAAACAGAACCAUCCUACAAUAGAAUAGUAGCUGAAUCUUUU
rnacentral:lncRNA from 1 species